GAUGAACGCUGGCGGCGUGCCUAAUACAUGCAAAGUAGAACGCUUGAAGCUUGGUGCUUGCACCGAGCGGAUGAGUUGCGAACGGGUGAGUAACGCGUAGGUAACCUGCCUCUUAGCGGGGGAUAACUAUUGGAAACGAUAGCUAAUACCGCAUAAAAGUCGACAUCGCAUGAUAUUGAUUUGAAAGGUGCAAAUGCAUCACUAAGAGAUGGACCUGCGUUGUAUUAGCUAGUUGGUGAGGUAACGGCUCACCAAGGCGACGAUACAUAGCCGACCUGAGAGGGUGAUCGGCCACACUGGGACUGAGACACGGCCCAGACUCCUACGGGAGGCAGCAGUAGGGAAUCUUCGGCAAUGGGGGCAACCCUGACCGAGCAACGCCGCGUGAGUGAAGAAGGUUUUCGGAUCGUAAAGCUCUGUUGUAAGAGAAGAACGAGUGUGAGAGUGGAAAGUUCACACUGUGACGGUAUCUUACCAGAAAGGCGGCUAC
rnacentral:rRNA from 1 species